rnacentral:rRNA from 1 species
AGAGUUUGAUCCUGGCUCAGAAUCAACGCUGGCGGCGUGCCUAACACAUGCAAGUCGAACGAGAAAGUCCCCGCAAGGGGAUGAGUACAGUGGCGAACGGGUGAGUAACACGUGACUAACCUGCCUUCGAGUGGGGGAUAACUCCGGGAAACCGGGGCUAAUACCGCAUAACAUCUCUGGGACGCAAUGCCCGGAGAUCA